GAGAUAUAUACUGUCUCAUAUAUAUUUGAUGAAUUUAAAUUUUUAGUAAAAAUGCUUAAAUAAUUUUAUGGGACGAUAAGACCCUAUAGAAUUUUAUAUUAAUAUUUUAUUAAUUAUUUAAUUAAAAUAUUAAUAUUUAAUUGGGAGGAUUAAUAAAUUUAAAAAACUUUAUUUUAAAAAUAAACUUUGAUUUUAGAAUUAAUUUUUGAUCUUUUAUUACAAAUCAAAAGAAUAAAUUACCUUAGGGAUAACAGCGUAAUAUCUUUUUAAAGAUCAUAUUUAAAAAGAUGUUUGCGACCUCGAUGUUGAAUUAAGAUAAAUUUUAAACGGAGAAGUUUAAUAAUUAAGUCUGUUCGACUUUUAAAAUCUUACAUGA
rnacentral:rRNA from 1 species